rnacentral:rRNA from 1 species
CAGUCGCCACGGGAAUACGAAGGGGGCUAGCGUUGCUCGGAAUGACUGGGCGUAAAGGGCGCGUAGGCGGCGAUCAAAGUCAGGCGUGAAAUUCCUGGGCUCAACCUGGGGGCUGCAUUUGAUACUGGUAGGCUUGAGUAUGGAAGAGGGUCGUGGAAUUCCCAGUGUAGAGGUGAAAUUCGUAGAUAUUGGGAAGAGCACCGGUGGCGAAGGCGGCGACCUGGUCCAUAACUGACGCUGAGGCGCGAAAGCGUGGGGAGCAAACAGGAUUAGAUACCCGAGUAGUCCCUGUCUCUUAUAU